UACCUAGAGGUGCGGAAUAGCCCAGGGAAACUUGGAGUAAUACCGCAUAAGCCCGCAAGGGAAGAUUUAUCGCCUUUAGAUGGGCCCGCGUCUGAUUAGCUAGUUGGUGAGGUAAUGGCUCACCAAGGCGACGAUCAGUAGCUGGUUUGAGAGAAUGACCAGCCACACUGGGACUGAGACACGGCCCAGACUCCUACGGGAGGCAGCAGUGGGGAAUCUUGGACAAUGGGGGCAACCCUGAUCCAGCCAUGCCGCGUGAGUGACGAAGGCCUUAGGGUUGUAAAGCUCUUUUGGCGGGGACGAUAAUGACGGUACCCGCAGAAUAAGUCCCGGCUAACUUCGUGCCAGCAGCCGCGGUAAUACGAAGGGGACUAGCGUUGUUCGGAAUUACUGGGCGUAAAGCGCACGUAGGCGGAUUUGUUAGUCAGGGGUGAAAUCCCGGGGGCUCAACCUCGGAACUGCCUUUGAUACUGCAAGUCUUGAGUCCGGAAGAGGUGAGUGGAAUUCCUAGU
rnacentral:rRNA from 1 species